rnacentral:rRNA from 1 species
UACAGAGGGUGCAAGCGUUACUCGGAGUUACUGGGCGUAAAGGGCGCGUAGGCGGUCAUAUAAGUGAGAUGUGAAAUCCCUGGGCUUAACCUAGGAACUGCAUCUUAUACUGUGUGACUGGAGUACUGUAGAGGGUAGUGGAAUUUCCGGUGUAGCGGUGAAAUGCGUAGAGAUCGGAAGGAACACCAGUGGCGAAGGCGGCUACCUGGACAGAUACUGACGCUGAGGCGCGAGAGCGUGGGGAGCAAACGGG